rnacentral:rRNA from 1 species
UACGGAGGGUGCAAGCGUUGUCCGGAUUUAUUGGGUUUAAAGGGUGCGUAGGUGGUUUAUUAAGUCAGUGGUGAAAGACGGUCGCUUAACGAUUGCAGUGCCAUUGAUACUGAUAGACUUGAGUUUUGUAGAGGUAGGCGGAAUUGAUAGUGUAGCGGUGAAAUGCAUAGAUAUUAUCAAGAACUCCGAUAGCGAAGGCAGCUUACUUAGCAAAGACUGACACUGAUGCACGAAAGUGUGGGUAUCAAACAGG